GGCUCUGUGAUUACAUGCCUAAGUUUCAAGGCAAUAUACGCUAUUCCGAUGCCCAAGUGAGCAGAAGUUUUGAAUUAAAUAUGAGAGCU